rnacentral:rRNA from 1 species
UACGUAGGCAGCAAGCGUUGUUCGGAAUUACUGGGCGUAAAGAGUGUGUAGGCGGUGUUCUAAGUUUGUCGUGAAAUCUCCCGGCUUAACUGGGAGGGUGCGGCGAAAACUGGAAUGCUAGAGGAUGGGAGAGGUAAGCGGAAUUCCUGGUGUAGCGGUGAAAUGCGUAGAUAUCAGGAGGAACACCUGCGGUGUAGACGGCUUACUGGACCAUAACUGACGCUGAGGCACGAAAAGCGUGGGUAGCAAACAGG